AGUGAACGCUGGCGGUAGGCCUAACACAUGCAAGUCGAACGGCAGCACAGUAAGAGCUUGCUCUUACGGGUGGCGAGUGGCGGACGGGUGAGGAAUACAUCGGAAUCUACUUUUUCGUGGGGGAUAACGUAGGGAAACUUACGCUAAUACCGCAUGCGACCUACGGGUGAAAGCAGGGGAUCUUCGGACCUUGCGCGAUUGAAUGAGCCGAUGUCGGAUUAGCUAGUUGGCGGGGUAAAGGCCCACCAAGGCGACGAUCCGUAGCUGGUCUGAGAGGAUGAUCAGCCACACUGGAACUGAGACACGGUCCAGACUCCUACGGGAGGCAGCAGUGGGGAAUAUUGGACAAUGGGCGCAAGCCUGAUCCAGUCAUACCGCGUGGGUGAAGAAGGCCUUCGGGUUGUAAAGCCCUUUUGUUGGGAAAGAAAAGCAGCAGGUUAAUACCCCGCUGUUCUGACGGUACCCAAAGAAUAAGCACCGGCUAACUUCGU
rnacentral:rRNA from 1 species